rnacentral:rRNA from 1 species
AAACUAACAAGGAUUCCCCUAGUAACUGCGAGUGAAGCGGGAAAAGCUCAAAUUUAAAAUCUGGCGGGUUCCCCGUCCGAGUUGUAAUCUGGAGAAGCGUUUUCCGUGUCGGACCGUGUACAAGUCCCUUGGAAUGGGGCGUCAUAGAGGGUGAGAAUCCCGUCCAUGACACGGACUACCGAUGCUUUGUGAUACGCUCUCGAAGAGUCGAGUUGUUUGGGAAUGCAGCUCAAAAUGGGUGGUAAAUUCCAUCUAAAGCUAAAUAUUGGCGAGAGACCGAUAGCGAACAAGUACCGUGAGGGAAAGAUGAAAAGCACUUUGGAAAGAGAGUUAAACAGUACGUGAAAUUGUUGAAAGGGAAACGCUUGAAGUCAGUCGCGUCCGUCGAGACUCAGCCUUGCCUUUGGGCCUGGUGUAUUUCUUGGUGGACGGGUCAACAUCGAUUUUGAAUGGCAGAUAAAGGUCUGGGGAAUGUGGCACCUCCGGGUGUGUUAUAGCCCCUCUCCGUAUAUGCUGUUUGGGAUCGAGGAACGCAGCACGCCCUUGUGGCCGGGGUUUUACCCACGUACCGUGCUUAGGAUGUUGGCAUAAUGGCUUUAAGCGACC